GAUGAACGCUGGCGGCGUGCCUAAUACAUGCAAGUCGAGCGAACGGACGAGAAUCUUGCUUCUCUGAUGUUAGCGGCGGACGGGUGAGUAACACGUGUAUAACCUACCUAUAAGACUGGGAUAACUUCGGGAAACCGGAGCUAAUACCGGAUAAUAUUUUGAACCGCAUGGUUCAUAAGUGAAAGGCGGUCUUGCUGUCACUUAUAGAUGGAUCCGCGCUGCAUUAGCUAGUUGGUAAGGUAACGGCUUACCAAGGCAACGAUGCAUAGCCGACCUGAGAGGGUGAUCGGCCACACUGGAACUGAGACACGGUCCAGACUCCUACGGGAGGCAGCAGUAGGGAAUCUUCCGCAAUGGGCGAAAGCCUGACGGAGCAACGCCGCGUGAGUGAUGAAGGUCUUCGGAUCGUAAAACACUGUUAGUAGGGAAGAACAUAUGUGUAAGUAACUGUGCACAUCUUGACGGUACCUAAACAGAAAGCCACGGCUAACUACGUG
rnacentral:rRNA from 1 species